rnacentral:rRNA from 1 species
GACGAACGCUGGCGGCGUGCUUAACGCAUGCAAGUCGAACGGAAAGGCCCUGCUUUUGUGGGGUGCUCGAGUGGCAAACGGGUGAGUAACACGUGAGUAACCUGCCCUUGACUUUGGGAUAACUUCAGGAAACUGGGGCUAAUACCGGAUAGGAGCUCCUGCUGCAUGGUGGGGGUUGGAAAGUUUCGGCGGUUGGGGAUGGACUCGCGGCUUAUCAGCUUGUUGGUGGGGUAGUGGCUUACCAAGGCUUUGACGGGUAGCCGGCCUGAGAGGGUGACCGGCCACAUUGGGACUGAGAUACGGCCCAGACUCCUACGGGAGGCAGCAGUGGGGAAUAUUGCACAAUGGGCGGAAGCCUGAUGCAGCAACGCCGCGUGCGGGAUGACGGCCUUCGGGUUGUAAACCGCUUUCGCCUGUGACGAAGCGUGAGUGACGGUAAUGGGUAAAGAAGCGCCGGCUAACUACGUGCCAGCAGCCGCGGUGAUACGUAGGGUGCGAGCGUUGUCCGGAUUUAUUGGGCGUAAAGGGCUCGUAGGUGGUUGAUCGCGUCGGAAGUGUAAUCUUGGGGCUUAACCCUGAGCGUGCUUUCGAUACGGGUUGACUUGAGGAAGGUAGGGGAGAAUGGAAUUCCUGGUGGAGCGGUGGAAUGCGCAGAUAUCAGGAGGAACACCAGUGGCGAAGGCGGUUCUCUGGGCCUUUCCUGACGCUGAGGAGCGAAAGCGUGGGGAGCGAACAGGCUUAGAUACCCUGGUAGUCCACGCUGUAAACGGUGGGUACUAGGUGUGGGGUCCAUUCCACGGGUUCCGUGCCGUAGCUAACGCUUUAAGUACCCCGCCUGGGGAGUACGGCCGCAAGGCUAAAACUCAAAGGAAUUGACGGGGCCCCGCACAAGCGGCGGAGCAUGCGGAUUAAUUCGAUGCAACGCGUAGAACCUUACCUGGGUUUGACAUGGAUCGGGAGUGCUCAGAGAUGGGUGUGCCUCUUUUGGGGUCGGUUCACAGGUGGUGCAUGGCUGUCGUCAGCUCGUGUCGUGAGAUGUUGGGUUAAGUCCCGCAACGAGCGCAACCCUUGUUCACUGUUGCCAGCACGUUAUGGUGGGGACUCAGUGGAGACCGCCGGGGUCAACUCGGAGGAAGGUGGGGAUGACGUCAAGUCAUCAUGCCCCUUAUGUCCAGGGCUUCACGCAUGCUACAAUGGCUGGUACAGAGAGUGGCGAGCCUGUGAGGGUGAGCGAAUCUCGGAAAGCCGGUCUCAGUUCGGAUUGGGGUCUGCAACUCGACCUCAUGAAGUCGGAGUCGCUAGUAAUCGCAGAUCAGCAACGCUGCGGUGAAUACGUUCCCGGG